AUAUGAGCCUAAAUCAGCACCCAUGUGAGCCUAAAUCAGCACCCAGGUGAGUUUAAAUGUUGUUUGAUGCGGUUUAAACUGCUAGUUAGGAUCCUUUACUUACUUUACUAUCUGUGGUAUCAGCGCGCCUGGUAAGUGCAGUAAAAACAUUCAUGGAGGGUUAAAAUUCAACGCUUGAAAAUGUCUCUCAGAAAGGAAUCAGGAAUUAAAUCCAGUAUACAGAAGAAUCCCUUGACAUGCAAUGCGAAGUUGGUUCAGGGGCACCAGACUCCAUUGCGAAAUGUUUCGUCUUCUGUUUUGUCUAUUUUUUGUCAAACUCCAGUUGAAGGACCGAAUUCUUUGACCCUCCAGCUUUCAAAACCCAGCGGAUCAACACAAAAAAUAGAUGUUCGGUUAAGAACCAGCCUACUUGUUGCCGUUUCAAGCAGAGUCGUCCUCAAUGCGCAAAUGCAGACCGCGGGCUGUUGUUCACUGGACAGCAGCGGACUUAGCGGGCGGGCAGGUGAGGUCAAAAGACUCUUUACUCAGAAGCCCUUCGGUGUUUCAUGCAGCUGCAGAAUUCUCGAGCUGGUCACAAAAACAAAUCAGUGCGCACUGAAUGUCAGCGACAGAGGGGCUGCGAUGAGCUGCAGAAACGACGGACGAGCAGAGAUCACCAACCAGGCGGACGUAGGUAACACUAACUUGCUACCAAGCAAUUUUUUACGCCCCAGUCUAGGGGUGCCUAAGGUGCAACAUGAAUAGGCCCCAAUCUUCCCCGUC
ensembl:lncRNA